rnacentral:rRNA from 1 species
GACGAACGCUGGCGGCGUGCCUAAUACAUGCAAGUAGAACGCACAGUUUAUACCGUAGCUUGCUCCACCAUAGACUGUGAGUUGCGAACGGGUGAGUAACGCGUAGGUAACCUGCCUGGUAGCGGGGGAUAACUAUUGGAAACGAUAGCUAAUACCGCAUAAUAUUAAUUAUUGCAUGAUAAUUAAUUGAAAGGUGCAAUUGCACCACUACCAGAUGGACCUGCGUUGUAUUAGCUAGUAGGUGAGGUAACGGCUCACCUAGGCGACGAUACAUAGCCGACCUGAGAGGGUGAUCGGCCACACUGGGACUGAGACACGGCCCAGACUCCUACGGGAGGCAGCAGUAGGGAAUCUUCGGCAAUGGACGAAAGGCUGACCGAGCAACGGCGCGUGAGUGAAGAAGGUUUUCGGAUCGGAAAGCUCUGGUGUAAGAGAAGAACGGGGGUGGGAGUGGAAAGUUCACACUGUGACGGUAUCUUACCAGAAAGGGACGGCUAACUAUGUG